rnacentral:lncRNA from 1 species
AGAAACUAGGGUUUUCGAAGUGAAACUUACUUGAAAUGGGUAUCAUCGUGAUCGUAUGGUCUUCAGGAGUACGAUGGCACUCUUAAAUCCGUCGUUGGUGGAAGUUUAGGGUGUUUUUGUGGUGGUCUUGGUGGUUGCCGUGUGUUCGAGAGGGUGAGAGAGAGAGAUCUGAAAUGGAAGAAGAAGAGAGAAAAGGAAAGGUUACGGAAAAUGGGGAGGAAAUUAGGGUAUAGGACCCUACCUAAAGUCCAACACAACAAUAGCUUAGAAAUUUUAGGUAAAACAAACACCAAAAUUACGCACCUUAAUCCCGUUUAAGGGCGUUUUUGUAAUUUCACGUCCUCGGAAUUAAAAAUUCCGGGACGGGCUGUGACAAUCUCCCCUCCUUAUAGAAUUUCGUCCCCGAAAUUCCAGCCACCAACCAAACUCUCAAUACUAAAAAAAUAGCCUCGGAUACAUAUCUCUCAUCCGUUCUUUUGUCUCCCAAGUAGCUUCUUCUGCUGAAUGGUUCAUCCACAAUACUUUUACCAAGCUCACGAUCUUAUUCCUCAGAGUCUUAUCUUUCCAAUCCAGUAUAGUCACUGGUUCCUCAUCAAGUCGAAUCCGGAUUAAUCUCCAAAGGUUGAACCAGAAUCUUAUGCGACAAAUCUGCCACCUAGUGACAACGCAUCGAACACA